rnacentral:lncRNA from 1 species
GGGCGAUGGAAGAAGGCUAAAGGAGUCUGAAUGAUUUAUGUACUGCCUGAACAGAUUUUCAGCAAACAAAAAAGUUUUCAGUGCCAGACCAAGAAUAUCUGAGCUGUGUCUGUGUUUUGGAAGGAAUGCAACGUGCAGGAGGGAAGGAUGUGUCCUCUUCCCUUUAGGAGGGGACUUCAUAGAGUAGAAUUAUUUAGGAUGGAUAAGAUCUCUGAGAUCAUGGAGUCCUACCAUUAACCCAACACUGCUGAAUCAUCACGUCACAGAGUGCCACAUCUACACUCCUUUUAAAUAUCUCCAGGGGUGGUGACUUUACCACUUCCCAG